CUCCAACCCUUGUGCAGAAAGAGCGAGAUUUCCCCAAUCCAAAGUGACGGCCUUCGUCCUCUUGGCAGAAAGGAGCCUGGGAUGGAGGGAGGAGUAUUUUCCAGGUGUUUCCUAAGGAGAGCUGAUUUGUUUGACUGACAUGUGGAUCUCAGGACUCGGGAGACCAAGAAGACAUGUUCAUGUGUUCCUAUUCAUCUUUUGGGAAAUUGAAGCCUUCAGCCAUUCUGAAAGUUGUCAGAAGCAGUUCCAAGUGGAGAUGAAAGAAGACAAAGGUCUGUUGUGUGAAGAAGACAUCAUCUCACCCCUUAUCAUGGUCCCCCUGAAAGAUGAGGAGCAACAUGAUCUAGUGGAAAUCACAAG